GACGUAGGGCGCGAGCGUUGUCCGGAUUUAUUGGGCGUAAAGAGCUCGUAGGCGGCUUGUCGCGUCGAAUGUGAAAACCCGAGGCUCAACUUCGGGCUUGCAUUCGAUACGGGCAGGCUAGAGUUCGGUAGGGGAGACUGGAAUUCCUGGUGUAGCGGUGAAAUGCGCAGAUAUCGGGAAGAACACCCGUGGCGAAGGCGGUUCUCUGGGACGGUACUGACGCUGAGGAGCGAAAGUGUGGGGAGCGAACAGGA
rnacentral:rRNA from 1 species